rnacentral:rRNA from 1 species
GACGAACGCUGGCGGCGUGCCUAAUACAUGCAAGUUGAGCGCUGAAGGUUGGUACUUGUACCAACUGGAUGAGCAGCGAACGGGUGAGUAACGCGUGGGGAAUCUGCCUUUGAGCGGGGGACAACAUUUGGAAACGAAUGCUAAUACCGCAUAAAAACUUUAAACACAAGUUUUAAGUUUGAAAGAUGCAAUUGCAUCACUCAAAGAUGAUCCCGCGUUGUAUUAGCUAGUUGGUGAGGUAAAGGCUCACCAAGGCGAUGAUACAUAGCCGACCUGAGAGGGUGAUCGGCCACAUUGGGACUGAGACACGGCCCAAACUCCUACGGGAGGCAGCAGUAGGGAAUCUUCGGCAAUGGACGAAAGUCUGACCGAGCAACGCCGCGUGAGUGAAGAAGGUUUCCGGAUCGUAAAACUCUGUUGGUAGAGAAGAACGUUGGUGAGAGUGGAAAGCUCAUCAAGUGACGGUAACUACCCAGAAAGGGACGGCUAACUACGUG